rnacentral:rRNA from 1 species
CGAGCACGCGCGUGUGGCAUAUCAAUAAGCGGAGGAAAAGAAACUAACUAGGAUUCCCUCAGUAACGGCGAGUGAAGCGGGAAAAGCUCAAAUUUGAAAUCUUCAAGGUUUUACCUUGACGAAUUGUAGUUUAUAGAAGUGUUUUCCUGUUAGUGGAGUUGGUAAAAGUUCUUUGGAAUAGGACAUCAUAGAGGGUGAGAAUCCCGUAUUUGAUCCAUUACUUCCUAGCGUUGUGAUACACUUUCAAAGAGUCGGAUUGUUUGGGAAUGCAGUCCAAAAUAGGUGGUAAAUUUCAUCUAAAGCUAAAUAUUGGCGAGAGACCGAUAGCGAACAAGUACCGUGAGGGAAAGAUGAAAAGGACUUUGAAAAGAGAGUUAAACAGUACGUGAAAUUGUCAAAAGGGAAGCGUUUGACACCAGUGUUGUUUUUCCGAAAAUCAAUUACGAAUGUUUUGUUUUUGAGGAGUUAUGACUUCAUCGGCUUGCUUCUCUCUUUACUGAAACUUUCUUAAUGCACUUUUCGGUUAACAAGUCAACAUCAAUUUCUUUUGUUGUAAAAGGGUAUGAGGAAGGUGGCUUUCUUUUCGGAGAAAGUGUUUAUAGCCUUGUGCCUCUAGCAAUCGGAGAGAUUGAGGUCUGCAGCGUAGAUCCUUCGGGGUUAGAUACGUUUGUGCUAAGUUAUAGCUUUUCAUAGACAACUUGUUGACUAUGUUUAGUCUUGUAGCUUACUCGCUGACGCUAUUUUACCUACGCUUAGGAUGUUGAUGUGAUACUGCGAGCA